rnacentral:rRNA from 1 species
GACGAACGCUGGCGGCGUGCCUAACACAUGCAAGUCGAACGGAGUAGAGACUUCGGUUUUUACUUAGUGGCGAACGGGUGAGUAACGCGUGAGAAACCUGCCUUUCAGUGGGGGACAACAGUUGGAAACGACUGCUAAUACCGCAUAACGUUAUCGGAUCGCAUGGUCUGAUAACCAAAGCUUUAUGUGCUGAAAGAUGGUCUCGCGUCUGAUUAGCUAGUUGGUGAGGUAACGGCUCACCAAGGCGACGAUCAGUAGCCGGUCUGAGAGGAUGAACGGCCACAUUGGGACUGAGAUACGGCCCAGACUCCUACGGGAGGCAGCAGUGGGGGAUAUUGCACAAUGGAGGAAACUCUGAUGCAGCAACGCCGCGUGAGGGAAGAAGGUCUUCGGAUUGUAAACCUUUGUCUUUGGUGACGAACAAAUGACGGUAGCCAAGGAGGAAGCUCCGGCUAACUACGUG